rnacentral:sRNA from 1 species
CUAUCUCAGCUGCAAGUUCUUGUGAAUUUUUCGCAUUUUCAAAAACAUUUUCAGUGGAAUUUUAAUCGACUUCCCUCUUUGAUCUCAGCCAGCAGAAGCGGGACUUUUAUCAUGGCCGUUGACUAUGUCCAACUUCUAGGCUAAAAGCGUGCGCCUUGCUGCUGCCGUCGUUUUAGCCAAUGAGCUGUUGCCAUUACCUUUGCCUCGCAUUUCAUCUGUUGCCCAGGCUAAUGGGCAAUUGCCUUGACUUUGCGUUUCGUGGCAACACCAGUCGAAGAGUACCCGAAUCGUUGAAGCCAAAAUAUCUAUACAGGCGAAGCCAAAAACAGCAACAGAAAUUAAAACUGAAACAGCAACAGAAACAAAAUCUACAACCAAAUUGCGAAAUAUUUGUGCAAAUGAAAAUACCGCAUGGCAGACGGGCCCAGACAAGGCUUUAAUUUUGUACAUAGAAUUAGAGUUUGAAAACGGCCAAGUUGGCAACACUGCUGCUGGAACACAUAGGCGUUUCAAGUAUUUGAACAGAAGGCAGAGAAUUGAACAUGACAGGGCAAUACGGGCCAACGAAGCUAUGGACACAGCCAGACGGGCGGACAGACACUGAAAACAGUCAGACAGUCGGUGGACAUGUCGAACGAUGCGACGCAGCCAGUUGCCAAAAUGUAUAAAAUUUUACGUUGCUCGGGCGCCGGCGGCUUAUUUAAAUGAACUUUUGGCCAGGUCCGAAGGGAAUGCGCGUGUUUUUAAAGUGGAUAUUUUUUGGGCGAAUUAUUGCAGCUAUGCUAAAUUCCAACAAGUCACGAAUGGAAUUUAGAUAGAAUUUAGAUUUAAAUGCAAAUAGAUAUGCGAGAG